UGAGUCGGCCGGGCGGCCGCGGCACCGCGUGAUGCGGUGACGAGGAACGUCCGGGCUCCACAGGGCAGGGUGAUGGCUAACAGCCACCCGGGGAAACCCGCGGGAAAGUGCCACAGAAACAAGACCGCCGCUGGCGCGAAGAACACUUCGCACCAGCGGUCAGGGUGAAAAGGUGGGGUAAGAGCCCACCAGUAGGCCAGGUGACUGGUCUAGCUAGGUAAACCCCACCCGGAGCAAAACCGAGCAGCAAGUACGAGCGGCCCGCUCCACGCUUGCGGGUAGGUUGCUUGAGGCCAGUGGCAACACUGGUCCUAGAGGAAUGGUCGCCGCUGCCGACUUCGGUCAGCAGGACAGAACCCGGCGUACAGGCCGGCUCAUCUG
rfam:Actinomyces sp. HMSC065F12 Actinomyces_spHMPREF2975-1.0_Cont15.1, whole genome shotgun sequence.